rnacentral:lncRNA from 1 species
ACACCGAGGACAACUAAUAUCCAUUGACACACAUCGCUGAUAGGUAAUAUCCACCGACACACACCGGGGACGACUAAUAUCCACCGACACACACCAGGGAUGGGUAAUGUCCACCGACACACACCGGGGACGGGUUCUCUUAACCAGCACACGAUCAUUCAAUUCUGGCCAAGGACACUGUGCUUUGCACUCACAUACCUCAACUUUGGGGGAGUUCCACUGGUGGUUGACCGAGUGGAGGGUUGAAUCGUGGAUGCGUGGGGCGUAGGGGAGAAACGGGUGAAGAGAUAUGGAGGGAAAAAUCGGUGGAAGCUGGGGUUGACCAAGAGGGAUGAAGGAGACGGACGUGUGGCGCUAUAGGGAAAUUCGAUGGGGGCGUUGGUAGAAGAAGAAACAGACGAAGGGAGAGAGACGCUCGGGGCUGCUUCGGUUUGAGGGAACAACUGAAGGUGGAGCAGCAGCAUGGAUGUGGGGGAAAGAGCUUCGCUGGAACAAAAAAUGAAAGCAAAGCCUGAGGUCGACGGGGACAAUGAAACGGAG